GAAGUAGGGGGAGAGCGUUGUCCGGAAUCAGGGGGCGUAAAGAGCGUGUAGGCGGCUCGGUAAGUCCGCUGUAAAAGUCAAAGGCUCAACCUUUGAAUGUCAGUGGAUACUGCCGGGCUAGAGUCCGGAAGAGGCGAGUGGAACUCCUGGUGUAGCGGUGGAAUGCGCAGAUAUCAGGAAGACCACCACCGGCGAAUGCCGCUCGCUGGGCCGCUCCUGACGCUGAGGCGCUCCAUCUUGGGGAGCAAACAGG
rnacentral:rRNA from 1 species